rnacentral:lncRNA from 1 species
UUUUUUUUAUUUUUAUUUAUUUUAGUUUGUUUAUUUAAUUUUAAACCAAGGGUAUUAUAGAUAUUUUACUCUUUAAUGAAUGUCAUUUUUGUGACUUUCUCCUUCUAAUGCUAUUUUUGAGACAUAAACUUCAAAAGGUGCUAUUAUUGACAAUUGCCCGAUGAUACAUGUUAUGUUAGAUUUUUCUUUCUGAGCGAUUACAUUUUUGCAUUCCCACGUAUAUCGAACACAAAAGACGAAAUGGAGUAUAUAUCAACAUCAAGUUUGUGGAUUGGCUUCUAAGACUGAAUGGCAUGGCGUUAAUUUUAAUAACAUGGCAUGUUUAAGAUUUUGUGGCAAUCAAAUGAUAUAUCGUUGUUUU